GACGAACGCUGGCGGCGUGCUUAACACAUGCAAGUCGUACGGUAAGGCCCUUUCGGGGGUACACGAGUGGCGAACGGGUGAGUAACACGUGAGUAACCUGCCCACAACUUUGGGAUAACGCUAGGAAACUGGUGCUAAUACUGGAUAUGUGCUCCUGCUGCAUGGUGGGGGUUGGAAAGCUCCGGCGGUUGUGGAUGGACUCGCGGCCUAUCAGCUUGUUGGUGGGGUAGUGGCCUACCAAGGCGGCGACGGGUAGCCGGCCUGAGAGGGUGACCGGCCACAUUGGGACUGAGAUACGGCCCAGACUCCUACGGGAGGCAGCAGUGGGGAAUAUUGCACAAUGGGCGCAAGCCUGAUGCAGCAACGCCGCGUGCGGGAUGACGGCCCUCGGGUUGUAAACCGCUUUCAGCAGGGACGAAGCUUUUUGUGACGGUACCUGCAGAAGAAGCACCGGCUAACUACGU
rnacentral:rRNA from 1 species